UUACAGAUGAGAUAGGAGCUGAUGACAGCAGAGCCAUUCAGAUGGCUGGGUUCACACUCAAAUGCAAAAAGGCCCGUGAGUGGUUUAAGAACUAUGUGAGCCCGAGGUUGGACAGCCUAUCAUGGGAGGAGUUUGCAAAUGAAUUUGCAGGAUGGGCUUUUCCUGACAGUUCAAGAGAAUUGAAGAUGAUUGAGUUUGAACAGUUAAGGCAGACAGAGGAAAUGAGUGUAGAUGAGUAC
rnacentral:lncRNA from 1 species